rnacentral:rRNA from 1 species
UAGGGAAUCUUCGGCAAUGGACGAAAGUCUGACCGAGCAACGCCGCGUGAGUGAAGAAGGUUUUCGGAUCGUAAAACUCUGUUGUUCGAGAAGAACAAGGACGUUAGUAACUGAACGUCCCCUGACGGUAUCUAACCAGAAAGCCACGGCUAACUACGUGCCAGCAGCCGCGGUAAUACGUAGGUGGCAAGCGUUGUCCGGAUUUAUUGGGCGUAAAGCGAGCGCAGGCGGUUUCUUAAGUCUGAUGUGAAAGCCCCCGGCUCAACCGGGGAGGGUCAUUGGAAACUGGGAGACUUGAGUGCAGAAGAGGAGAGUGGAAUUCCAUGUGUAGCGGUGAAAUGCGUAGAUAUAUGGAGGAACACCAGUGGCGAAGGCGGCUCUCUGGUCUGUAACUGACGCUGAGGCUCGAAAGCGUGGGGAGCAAACAGG